rnacentral:lncRNA from 1 species
UCUCUAGUCCAAUGGCGCAAUCUUCAGAAGUUGUCAGAAACCCUCCCGAUUUGAAAUUCUACAGGCUUACCAGUACACACCUCUUCUCAGUCGAGUCUCAAAAUAGCAGCCUGAAUUAUCUAUACCUCUAAAAAUGAAAUGAAAUCAAGACAUGCCUCUGCUCAAAAUCCUUCAGUGUUUCUUCUGCUCAGUCAGGAUAAAGGACAAAUUUCUGACAAUGGCUUCACGGCCUUCCUUUGCUCUCACCCGAUUCCUUCUUCAUCCCCAUCUUCUAGUCUCUUCUGCUACUCCAAUCACACUGGCUUCCUUCUCUUCACAGAAACAUCAG